GAGGAUUGCAAUCUGGUACAGUGCUUGAGGCAAGAGGUUCCUCCACAUGAUGUUGGUGAUGAGAGGCUCAGUCCUUCCCACUGGUUUCUUCUCCAUGAGUUCUUUUGUGGGCUUCUCAGUGGCAAGAGCCAGAGCACCUAGUGUGUCCAUGAUCAAAUUCACCCACAGCAAUUGAACUGCUGUUAAUGGGACUUCACCUGCUGAAACUGCUGCUACAAAGUUGAUCACAAGAGCUGCAACAUUGACAGUGAGCUGGAAUUGGAUGAACUUCUGGAUGUUAUUGUAAACACAUCUUCCCCAUUUCAAAACUGUGGCCACUGAUGCAAAGUUGUCAUCCAUGAUCACAAUAUCUGAGCUCUCUUUGGCAACUUCUGUGCCUUGAAUUCCCAUGGAAAGUCCUAUAUCAGCUUCUUUCAAAGCAGGUGCAUCAUUCGUGCCGUCACCUGUCACUGCAACCACAUGGCCUUUCUGUUUCAAGCAUUGCACCAUUAGGAGCUUGUCAAAUGGGGAGGACCUUGCCAUUACACAGAUUUUGUCCACCUUCAACAUUCUCUCUUCCGGCGUGUAGGUGCGAAAUUGCACACCUUCUACCACUGCUCCACUGAACAUGUCCUGAUUAGGCUUGAGUAUCCCACAUUCUGUGGCUAUGGCUUUUGCAGUGAAAACAUUGUCACCUGUGAUCAUUUUGACAUUUACCCCUGCAUAUUGACAGUCUUCAACUGCUUUCUUCACCCCGGGACGGCAUGGAUCUUUAAGACCAACAAGUCCUAAUAGAGUCAAUCCAUCUUCUUUAAGCAAAGCUCUGUGUUCUUGUUCAUCCACUUGCUCUUCUGCUGGAAUUUCUUUAUGUGCAAAUGCAAUGCAUCUGAGGCUGCUAGCUGCCAUACCUUGAAUAAUCUGCUCAAAUCUCAUUUUUGCAUUGUCAUCCAUAUUUAUAACAAGUCCAGAGGCAUUGUAGUAACUCGUGCACAUUGCUAGUAUCAUCUCAGCAGCUCCUUUCCAAUGUGCUUGAAUUGUAUUGUUGUCAGCCUUCCUCUUCAUCAAAACCCCGCUUCGUUUCUUCUGUGAAUUGAAGGCCUCAACGUACAGAAUGCUACAACUCUUCACCACUUUCUGCAUAUCCAUCUUCGAUCCAUGUACCGCCCACGAAAGAAUAGCCUUCUCAGUAGGACUGCCUGAGAUUUCAAUUUCUGAAACUGAACUAGGCCUGUAUACGCUACCAGUUGUAUUCAGAGCAACCCCUUCUUGGAUCAAAUUAAGAACAUAUGGAGAUAUAGAUGAAAAAGCUUCUUCGGCCACAGGUUCUUCACCCAACCAAAACUUAGUUACCUUCAUUUCAUUCAUGGUGAGAGUGCCUGUUUUGUCCGUGCAAAUGAUGGUAGCAGAGCCCAUGGUCUCACAAGCAGAGAGCUUCCUCACCAUUGCUUUAUCAGCCAUCAUUCUCUUCAUGGAAUAAGCAAGAGUCAGAGUCACAGCUAGAGGCAAGCCUUCUGGAAUUGCCACAACAACAAUUGUAACUGCAGCUGCUACAAUCUCAACGACCGCGUUUAAUAUGUCAUCAACUUUGGUCUUGCUGCCAUUAUACUCCUGAUUUCCAUUCUCAUCCUGUGUAUUUCCUGUGAAGUAUCUAACUAACAAGACAAUGAACACUAGAAAAGCAACAACUAAACCAACUUUACCAAUUGAUGAAGUUAGCAUGUUGAGGCGAGCUUGUAAAGGGGUCUGUUCAUUUGUGUCACGGCUGAUUUGGCUCAUCAUUUCACCCCAAGUUGUGUUCAUGCCCACAGAAGUUACAAGCAUCCGAGCGUAGCCAUCAGCCACUUUGGUGCCAGAGAACAAGAAUGGAUUUUGGGUUUGAUUUAUUCCCACGUGGUCACUUUCCCCUGUCAUGCUUGAUUCAUCUACUUGUAAUGAAUGGCCAUCAAGAAACAACCCGUCAGCUGGAACUUGAUCUCCAAUCUUCAAGCAAAUGACGUCACCAACCACAAUAUCGAAUAUCGAAAUCUGUUGGCGCCUGCCGCCUCUCACAGCUUCAAUUUGGACAUUGUCACUGACUUUUGAUAACUUAUCAAAUUGCCUGUUCUGCCUGUAAUUACUUACAGCGGACACAGAAAUUACCAGAAUGAUUGCCAGAAAUAUGCUUCCGCCAUCGAUCCAGCCUUCUUUAAGGCCAUGCACUUUGAUCCCGAGACCAAGAGAGAGCGCAGCACAGCCUAAGAGGAUGAUAAUUGUGAGGUCUUUGAAGGCUUCCCCCACAAAAUGGAAGAACCCUUUUGCUGGUGGCUUCAUGUAUGUGUUUGAGCCAAAUGCUUCAACUCUUUUGGCAAUGUCUUGAGCAUCACCAUUGCCAUGGAUGCCAUGCUCUGCAUCAGUUUUGAGAGCUGAUGCUAUUUCUUCAACCCCUCCCAGCUCCCGGAGCUGGUUGAGGCUUUUGUCCUUGACAAGGUCAGUGAGGGUGGUUUGAUCAAUUUCGAACUCGUUAUCUGGCUUGACAGUAAGAGUAGUAUAAGAGGGAGAGCGAGGUAUUUUGGUGUUUGUGAAUUUGGAUUUGGAUAGAGAAAAAAGGUUGAAGGCUCUAGAGCAGUAGAUGGUUGCAAAAGCAGAAUGCCAUUUUCUUUGGUGUUUGCUAAGAGUGCUUUUUUGAACAGCAAAAAGCGACCCAAUUUCAAUGUAUCCCAGUUUUGCAUGCAAUGUGGUAGCCAUGCUGCUUAAUAAUAGAAAAUAAAAAACUUAAGAGAAUGUACUGAAAAUUAAGGCAGAGAGAUGAAAAGACUAUUUGGACCAAUUAUUCAAUUAACCAAGGAAGGAACUAUUGAUAAGAGAAUUUGUCUGGAGAUUAUGCAAAUUUGCUGUUGCCUUGGACGCCGCUACUCGAAUAUAUAGUUCCUUGGAUAAAGAGGUUGCUUGGAAACUCUUUGGUGACGUGAGCGUGUGCUAUAUGAACUGGACAACGCGGAGUAUAACGUAAGCGAGGGCGCGUUUUGAUUACGUGUGUGUAACGUUUUCUCAACUCAUACAUAAGUGUAUUUAAUGUGUUAAAAAACUCUUUGGCUCCGUAAGGCUUGCAGAAAGAAUUUAAUGGGAAAUGGAAGAUUUAUUUUUCAUGUUUAAUAUUGGGAAAGUAAUCACGAAAAACCACUUUAUUUCUUUUCCCAUGUUUAGUUUGUCAAAAUUUUUAAUUAUACCCAUAUUAUAUAAAAAGAAAUAAAAAAGCCAAAGAAAUUUGAGUCGUCUUUUUUAAGUGGUUCUCACGCUCAUUCUUUCUCUGUGCGAUUCCACUGCAUUCAGAUUGAUUUUAAAAAAAGUUUCCUUUUUUUAAAAUAAUAAUAAUAAUAAUUACUAUUAUUUUUUUAUAAUAAUAACCUUGAUGUAUACAACACAAAUUAGUUGGUACAAUUCAAUGUACCAAACAUAAAAAUACCUGGUAGUAUUUCUCACUUGUCAAAAAGUUUGCGUUAAACACUUUUGUUUUUCUUUUCUUUUGUUUCAGAAAGUUGGGUUUCAUGAAAUUUGAACCUGACAUCAUUGUCUACAACAAAGUGAUACUACCGUCAAGUAUUUAAGAGUUAAUAAAAUAUCUAACAUCACUCUUCUUGCCCACUAAGGGAUCAGAGUGGUCCCGGCCCUCGUCACAAUAUAUUAAUAUAUUUUGUGAUAUUUUUAGAGUAUUUAUAAUUAUGUUCCUUAUUUUUCAGUUAAGAUUUGACUAAAAACACAUAAAAAUUAUUUUAAGAGCUCUCUAUAAAAUUUGAACUCCAAUAUACUCUCUAGUUUAGAGAGUCAUAAAUAUUAUAGUUAUUUUAUUUUAUUUAUUUAUUAUUAUUAUUUAAUUCAAUAUGAUUGGUCCAUCUCUAUAAAAAAAAAAAGUUAGCAUUAAUUAAAAGUUUAAACUAUACAUAAAACAAAGCAGCAUUAAAUUAUAGGGAGUCACUAGGAGUCAUUUCUCUCUCCUCAGAUUUAGGAGCUCCUAGAGGUCUCCCUAUUUUAGGAGGUGGAUAGGAAGCAUGGUUGGAGUUGUAUUUUUCGAAUUCAUCUCUAAAAUUUGUCUAAGGAGAUGGUCUAGGGAGCCUAUUGUGGACGCUAUUAAUAUUUUAAAAGUCUCCUAUUCAAGUUUACCUCUUUUUUUAGAUAACUUUCCUUCAAAUUUAAUUAGUAUACUAUUAUUAUUAUUUUUAUGCAAAUCCUUAAAAUCCAAGAGUCAUUUUCAACCGUUUCUUUGCUCUUAUAAUUAGGUUGGAUAAAAGGAUUAACUAGUGCAGUGGUUUGGAAUAUUUACUCCCUCUGACAAGGUUUUGGGUUCGAGUCCUAGUAUUCGUGUAGUGUGUGUGUGAGUUUAGUAUACUAUCAUCCAUCUCAAUAGGAAAUGUCUUAAAAAAAAAAAAGUUGGACACCAUAUUUGUGACUUUGGUUUAUUGUGUUAGUCUUCAUAUGAUAUAAUAUAUAUUAUGAAGUUUCAAUUGGGUUGGAUGCUCUCUUGUUCACGAGAAGAGUCAUGGGAAACAACUUGUAGAACCAAGGGUUUCUUCGCAGCUAGGGUUUUCGGUCUUGUCACUCUCAGACGUCGGCUCCUGAUGUUGCUCCCCUGACAUCUCCAGCCUCCAGCGUUUGGGCGAAGUUGCCUCCUGCUGCUUUGCUCAUCAUCUCAGUCAGUUUCAUUAGUACGCAUAACUCUUCGUUUGGUUUUCCCCCUUUGUCUUUGGUUGUCGCAGACUUGCUCUCUUACGCAAGGAGAGCCGUGGAAAAAACACACAAAGCCUAGGGUUUGCUCUUGCUCGUUGACUUGUGGUUGUCGCUGCCUCCUUUCCUCUCUAUACGUUUUGUCCUGCUGAUUUUGGUUUCAUGGUAGGGUUUCUGUCGAUGGAAGAUUUAGGGUGCGACGGUUGAUUUUCGUUCUUGAGUGUGUUGGUGGGAGGAUGAGGAUCCUGGUUUUUGGUAAAGGGCAAGGUUUUGAUGAGACUAAGAAGUCCAAUGCUCGGGUGAUUAGCUUCUAUGACCAUCCUGGGCCUAGCCAGCGAUGCACAAGUAUGAGCCUUCGGAAGCAUCUCUGGAAACUGAGAUUGCUCACCGGAGUUGUCGCUACCUGGCUGAUGAUGGCUUGGAGAUUUUGCAGUGGCGCCCUUUCUAAUAUGGCUUAAGGAGACCGGUUUUGUGGGGCCUCUUGGGGGCCAACCUUAGUGUGCGGUUGGAGUGUUCGUGGGCUUGGCAUCCUAUGAAUGCUCUGUUCCCUAAAGCCUCAUUCUUAAGGUUAAGUGGCUGACGUGGGGUUUGUUUUGUGUGGUGUUUUAUGUUGUCUACCUCUCUAAAUGCUUUCUAGUUCUGUGUUGUUCAACGGACUAUGGUUCUUUCAUAGGAGGUUUCUUUUGAUAGUGUUAGGAUGCGACAAUGUGUUUUCUGAAGGGUUUUUCUUCGUUGUUUUUCUGUCUUGUUGUCCUUUGUUUUUCUCCCACUGUUGUGUUCCCUUUGCAGCUGUUCUCUGCUCUGUGUUGUUGAAGAACUAUGCUUGGUCAUAGAAGGUUUUUCUUUCUUAGGCACUGAGUUGAGUUGUUGGGCUUCUUUGGGGUUCCUCUUUGUUGUCGUCUCCGUGUUUUCUUGGUGUGUUCUCUUGUGUCUCUGACUCUUGGUGUGCGAUGUUGUUCAUGUGAUGUACAAAGGACUAUAAAUUCUCAUAGAAUGCUUUUUUUAAUAGUUGGGUUGCAUUGCGGUUCUUUCUUGUGGGUCUACUGUGUUGGUGUCUAGUAAGUAUUUUUCUUUUCUGGUUUUUUGUAACAGUCCGAAGUGGCUUGAAUCGGACUCUCCAGUUAGUCCAUGGCAUGUGUGGUACUCUUUCUUACCUUGGGUUUGUCCCAUGUGAUUUUCCUACGAAUGUUUUAACGAGGCCACUGUAAUCGUGUUGUUGUUUGUAUGCCAAUUAUGGUUUAUGAAUGAAAUCUUAUUCUCAAAAGUUUCAAUUGGGUUGACUCAAUUAAGGUUUGUUAAUCUUUCUUGUAUUUUUGAGUGUUUUCUCCUCAUAUGGUUUGUUUGGGUUUGUGAAAUUUUGAUUUAAUAUCUAUUGAGCUCAAUUUAUGUGUAGGUUACCAAAGAAAAAAAGUUGUCAAGAUUUUUUAGGCCAGUUUGGCGUUGUUGUGCUGUGAAAAUAAUGGAUGUCAGAUUUGCUGUGAGAGAAAGCAGUUUGGUGUUUGGUAAACUUUUUGUUAAAAGUGUUAUUGAUACUGAUUCCUACAUAAUCAGAAAAUGAUUGCGGCAUAAUCAUUAAACCCAGUACCUCUUCGAAACUGAUUGUUGCAUAAUUAGAAAAUGAAAACAUCUCAUUAGCUGUUUUCCCUUAUAGCUUUCUCUCACAGCAAUUUUUAACAAAAAAAGAUUUUCUCAUAGUAUACCAAAUAGGCUGGGCUUCCCAAAUUUUUUUUAAAAUUAUUUAUCACCCCAAAUAAGCAAGGUUAAACAUACACUUUAUAUAUUUGAUCCUUUUUGUUACUUUGUAAUGUAUUAAUAUUGUGAGUUCUAAUAUAUAUGUUGUUAAAGGAUCCCCUACACAUGAAAUUCCAACUCCGCGUGCCCUUUAAACAAAAUUUUUCCGCUAAAACAGUUAAAAGGCAACACGUACGUGUCACUCUAAGCCGAAGAGAUCAUACGUCAGUAAAAAGAAGUAAUAACGCCUUCAAAACUCCAAUGGAGUGGUCAAUGCGUGUUCAACGACAAAGAUUCAAAAUGUUGACUCCAGGUGAAACUCAAGCACAAUUUAAUCGGAAAAUUCUAAUACAUUGUAGCAGCAAAUGCAGUGGCAUAAAAAUAAAACGCAAAGAAAAGACGUCCUUAUCCCGGACGGACCAACAUUGCAAUUACAUGCAACGUAACUUCAGUGCUUGUGAAAGUGCAGGACGGGCAAUGCGUUCCAACCGUCUGACUGUGGGAAUCAAAUUAAACCUGAAUUCUAAGUCAAAUAAUUAGGCCAAUCAAUUUGGGAAUUAUUUGACCUAAUUGAGAGUUACCUAAUCUAAUUGUGAAUUAUUUAAUCAAAUUGGGAGUUACUUGAAUUAAUUGGGAGGUUACCUAGUUCAAGUUGGAUGUAUUUGAUCCUCGCCUUAAUUAGGGAUUUAGUUAAAUCUCUAAUCCCUAAAUACACCAACCUCACCAACUAUACAAACCUCACCAACUACACCAACCCCACCAACCUCUUCAAGGCCACUAUAAAUACUUGGAUACGCACAAGGAUGAAGGUACGUCAGAAUUACUACUAAAACUUUGUAGAGAUCUUCCUCUCACAGACUCUAUCCACCUUCUCUCUCUCUCUCUCUCUCUCUCUCUCUCUCUCUCUCUCUCUCUCUCUCUCUUUUACUUAAGGCUCCGCCCGCUUGGUUUACACCAUAAAUAUAUCUCCGUACCCUAUUAGCUAUUGUUUUCUAUAUGAUUCAAUUGAACUAAUUUAGGCAUUGGAGUGUGGUCCUCUUAUUUGUUCUAUUUUGCAGGGAGAAAGAGGCGGCAAAGAAGAAAGGAGAAUCUUUCCAAUCGAAUAUUCUCAUGGGGAAAUUUGCUCCCACACUCACUCAAGAAUUUCUCUACUAAAUUUGGAAUCUACAAGAAUCGUGGGGUCAACUUAACCUUUAGUUGUUCAAUUUCCUAAAGAAAUUGUUAACAACCUUCACCUGAAAGUGUGAUAGACAACACAUAAUAUAUGGUGAGAAAGAAUGGUACGAGUAAACUACUCUUAUGCUGCAAAAAAAGAUGGCAGCAUGAGCCUUAUGCCACCUCUUUCUGGCUAUGCCAAGUUUACAGUACAUGGAUUCAAAGUCAUAGAACAGAACUACCUGAUUAUUUUAUCUCAUUGAGUGAUGGAUGAAAUAAUUUAGCAAGAUUCACAGAAAAGAAAAAUAUCCAUGGGAUGGGCAGUUGCUGAGAAAUUGCUUGAACUUGCUUUGGAUGCUUGCUAUUAUUGAUUUUAGAAUUUCAUAUAUUUGGGUUUAUGUGGAGAGGAAACUUCCAUUUGGUAAUGGAUAUCUAUUGUUUAUCUGUAUGCAUGGUGAUUGGUGGACAAUGCACGUCAAUGCAUCAAACUACUGAGGUCCACCUUAUGCUUACAAUAUUAUAGCAAAAGCGAAACUCAAAUGCUAUCGUCAAUAAAAUUUGACCCCCGGACAAGUUGGUUUUGUGAUGGAAUAUGAGGUGCUGGAAAUAUGAGUUGCUUCAGCAGAGCUCUUUGUAUUCUGAUUCACUUAGCUUGUAUUUACAAUGAUAAGCUCAAAGGCUUUUUAAAGAGAACAAAUAUUCUAGAGAAUGCUUCCUAGAGAACCUAAAAGACAUUGCAUAGGAACUCUACCAAAUUAAUUAAGGACAGGUUCAGCUGCUGCAAUAAAUAGAGAUAUUCUAGAGAAUGAAAGAAGUGCAUUAAUUCCAACACUCCCCCUUAAUGGAAUUUCUUCACAACUCCAAUGAGCUCUCUUAAAUAGCAAAACUUCUCUUGUGGAAGUGCCUUGGUGAGUAUGUCUGCCAACUGCUCCUCUGUCCUGCAGUAUUCAAGUGCAACUUCACCUUUCUCAAUUGACUCUCGAAUGAAAUGGUACUUGAUGGCAAUGUGCUUUGUAUGAUCAUGACUCACUGGAUUUUUCCCAAUGGCAAUGGCUGAUUUGUUGUCACAAUAUAAUUUGGUUCCGCCUUCUUGCUUUUCGCCAAUGUCUUCAAGUAUCCUUCUAAGCCAUACAACUUGUGAUGUUGCCUUAGCUACUGCAAUGUACUAUGCUUUAGCAGUAGAUUGUGCCACCACAUUUUGCUUCUUUGAUACCCAUGAACUUAUGCCGGAACCAAUUGAGAAAACAUAGGCUGACGUGCUCUUCAUAUCGUCAAGACAUCCUGCCCAAUUGUCUGUGUAACCAAUAAGCCUUGAUUUUUCUACUGCUGUAAACAAAAUUUCAUAAUCAAGUGUGCCUUGCAAGUAUCUCAACACCCUUUUUGCAGCUCUAAAAUGAAUCUGACUUGGCUCUUGCAUAUAACGUGAAAGUAAACUUGCAGCAAACAUAAUAUUGGUCUAGUUGUCUUAAGAUACAAAAAACUACCAACCAAACUUCAGUACUUCUUAGCAUCUCCCUUCUUUGCACCAUCAAACUUCCUCAUUUUCUCAUUUGCUAUCAAAGGAGAAGCCACUGAUUUGCAGCCCAGCAAAUUUAACUUCUUGAGAAUAUUUUCAGCAUAUUUCUUUUGAGAAAUGAAGAUCCCAUUUUUAGUUUGAGAAACUUCAAUUCCCAAAAAAAUAAUGAAGUAAUCCCAGAUCACUCAUCUCAUAGGUGCUCAUCAUAUCCUUCUUGAAUUGUUGGAUCAAGUGUUCAUCAUUGCCCGUAACGAUCAAAUCACGAAACUUAUAGCAAAAAACGACCUUAUGCUUACAAUAUUAUAGCAAAAAACAAAACUCAAAUGCUGUCAUCGAUAAAAUUUGAACUCCGGAUAUUCUCCAAAAAUGUAAAAGCUGAAUGCCACUGGAUCAAAUGGUCACAGACUCACGGAUUUCAAAUAGUACAAAAUAAAAUGAGGAUAACUUGUGAAAGCUGCCAUGCCGGAUGCAGAUGCAAAGAUGAAAGCUAUGCUCUAUAAUCACGAAAUAUGUGGUAUAUGCCUACCUUCUUUGUGGAGCAACCUUCACUUGGAUGGGCUGAGCAGUCCUCCCUCUGUUCCUCAAGAUAUGAUACAAUUAUUAUUUGUUUAAAUUUGCGCCCAGAGACUCCAUAUGUCGAGUUUUUUAUGGGCUACACUGGAUAAAUUUGAUAAUAUUUCAUAUAAAAAUAUACUUAAACCCAAAUUACAGGCUAAAAGGAAAACAAAAAUAAAAGCAGAAGCCCAAGUAGUAAAAAUAAUUUGGACAAACUACAUAAAACCCCCUAAAUUAUAGGGUCAUUUUCAAAUUCAUACCCAAUUUUAGAGACAUUUACGAGUACAUACUCAAAUUCCCGAAAACCCUACAAUUUGCCCCUACCGUUAACUGUUAGUUAAUCUGUUAAAUGCUGCUUUGGCAAAUAUGAUCCCCAAUUUUUAAUGACGUGGACUCCAUAUGGACAAAAUAUAUAGUAAACAAUUCUUUUGUUUUUUAAAUAAUAAAAAAAAAUAAAAAUCAAUGUUCCUCUCUCUCUCCUCCCAGCCCCCAGCCCGCCCGACUUACCCAACCAACAAGUGCAACCCAAAUUUCCCCCACCCUCUCCCCUUCACUGACGCAUCUCCCACACUCACCCACGACACACCUCCCCCUUUUUUCUGUCUGUUUGUUUCUCCCUCCCUAGCCCCCAAAUUUUUUGAAGUCUGUGGUGCUCAAAAUUUGGAUUUUGCAUAUACCCAUCUCACUAUUUCUCCAACGGUUUGUGUAACGAAGGGGGCAAAUUGUAGGAUUUCCGGAAGUUUGAAUAUGUACUCGUAAAUGUCUCUAAAAUUGGGUAUGAACUUGAAAAUGACCUCAUAAUUUAGGUGAUUUUAUGUAGCUUGUCCAAAUAAUUUUUAACUAGUUAAACAUAAUUUUCAGUGCUGGGAUUUGGACCAAGAAACUUGUUGGAAUUUAAGAGGUGUGCGAUGAGUGUUUGUGACGCUCACAUACCACUUGUUUGAUUGUAAGUUGAUUGUGAGUGGUGUUGCUAUGAUACCAUUGUUGGUUUAUGUGUGAAGGAGUUUAGAACAAUAGGACAAUAGUUAACAAAGUGAUUUUAUUAUAUUUGAAGGAGAAUGAUACAUAACUUGGUGUAGGCUAAUUGGCCUCCUUCCUAACUUAUAUAGGCUUAUUGGCCCUCUUUCUCUCUUAGCUUUAUGAGCUUAUUGGCUCCUCAACAUAGCUUUGUUUGGGUAGCUUUGGCUCCCUUAGUUUGGGAGUUGGCUUGUUUACUCCCCCACAUGCAUGACUCAGUUUGGGUCGGGUAGCUUGUAGCUCCCACAUAGGUUGGAGUUUAUUAAUUCACUCCACAUCUGGUUUGGGAGUUCUUUUUGUUAACUCCACUUUGCUAGAUUACAUUGCAUGUCUAUUUAUAGUUGAGUCUUGCCGCCAUGCUUUAGUCCCACCGAAUUGUUCUCUUUUCUCCAGCCACAACUAUGUGGCUUCAUCUAGAAUAUUCUUUGCAUAUUUAUUUGUGUACUGUUGCCGACAUUCCAUCAUCUAGUUUGUAGGUUCUUGAGUUUUCUAGAAUUGUGUAGUUGUAUCUACACAAAUAUGCAUUACUUUUUCAACAAGAAACUCAAAGCCAAGUUUUUUAUGAGCUACACCGGAUGAACUUGUUAAGGUUUCCUACAAAAAUAUAUUUGAACUCAAAUUUGGUGCUAAAAGGAAAACAAAAAGGAAAGCAAAAGUCUAGCCUCCACUUCUCUUCCUUUCAAUCCCUAGCCGCCUCUCUAUCCUAAGGGACGGGGAGGGAAGGUCACUGCCUUUCCUCCCCUCUCCUUCCUUCUCCUUCCUUAUCUUCUCUCAUCCGCUUCCACGCUCUUUCCUCUUUCCUUUCUUUGUGGGUUUGGUUGUGCUCUUUGCUCUAUUUUUUGUUGCCCCAGUUCUCCUUAAAUCUCUCUCACCUUGUGAUGUCCUUUUGUUUUGCUGCCUUAUCUUGGUGUUAUUUGGAUUUUUUUUGUUUGCAGAUUUGUGGGUUUUGUGUGGCUGCGGUUUUUCCCUAAACCUGUGCUUCGAUAGUAGUGUUCAUGUUUUCAUGGUGGCGACGACGACAACUCUACUUUCUGUCAUCUCGGUUGGUUUUGCCCCUUUUUUUGGGUUGUAAUAAUUAUAUCAAAUCUCUUGUGAGUUGGGUGUUUUGCUUGUAGUUGAGUCUCUACUUGUAUUUUUUACUUGUGCGAGUUUAAAAGUUGCAGUUAUAUUGGUAGUUUUGGGCGCUAUUGUCCACGUCUGAUUUGUUUAAGCUUGUGGCUUUCAUGCGGAAAUUUGUUUGGCUUUAUGCCACUAUUAGUGGAGAUAUACUUGUGGUGUAUUUCUCUGUAUCUGGAAUAACCAUGCGUGGUUACUGUGCUUCCAUAUUUGUAUCAACCCUUUUUGGGUAGUUUAUGCCCUUAUGACUGAUGGCCUUGGUGCCUAAGUUAUGAAUACGAUUAUUGCUUACUCUCAAAAGAGAAAAGCAAAGUAGUAAAACUAAUUUAUUAAAGUUGUGUAUUAAAAUAGGAAAAUCUGAAGAUUAACUUACAUUAUUAUAUGCUGAAUCUACUUACAUACAAAAACAAUGUUGCAAAUACUAAAAGUUUUAAUAACAAUAUUUUAGAAUAAUAAAAGAAUCCAAUAAAUUAUCAAAUAAAAGAAUGCAAACCAUGCCUGAUGCAUCCAGCCUGGGGGGAUUCCUUCAAAAUACUUCAAAUGGAGUUCUUCUUAUGUUUUGUCAUCUUCAGAUAGCUGAAAAUGGGUUUCUCUGGUACAGGUAUAGACUUGACGACCCAACCAAUUGGCCAAGAAACAGCUGCAAUUCCAAUACAUGCACCCCAUUGCCCCCAAUUCAACCUCUCUGUAUCUGCAAACUUCUUGAGAAAUUCCACCAUCACCACCUGAAGCAGAAUUGUCACUGCAAUGAUCCCCAGAAACAAUUUGUUGGUGUGAAUUCCCUUGAACACAUUCUUCUUCUCAAGCUUCCUUGCAUUGAACUCAUUGAACACCUGGCACAGCACAAACGUGUUGAAGAUCAAGGUGUCCUUUACCUUGUCAUCCACGCCAAAGAUUGAUUUGCCUCUGAAUUGCAGGGUCAGGAGGAUUGCAAUCUGGUACAGUGCUUGAGGCAAGAGGUUCCUCCACAUGAUGUUGGUGAUGAGAGGCUCAGUCCUUCCCACUGGUUUCUUCUCCAUGAGUUCUUUUGUGGGCUUCUCAGUGGCAAGAGCAAGAGCACCUAGUGUGUCCAUGAUCAAAUUCACCCACAACAAUUGAACUGCUGUUAAUGGGACUUCACCUGCAGAAACUGCUGCUACAAAGUUGAUCACAAGAGCUGCAACAUUGACAGUGAGCUGGAAUUGGAUGAACUUCUGGAUGUUAUUGUAAACACUUCUUCCCCAUUUCAAAACUGUGGCCACUGAUGCAAAGUUGUCAUCCAUGAUCACAAUAUCUGAGCUCUCUUUGGCGACUUCUGUGCCUUGAAUUCCCAUGGAAAGUCCUAUAUCAGCUUCUUUCAAAGCAGGUGCAUCAUUCGUGCCGUCACCUGUCACUGCAACCACAUGGCCUUUCUGUUUCAAGCAUUUCACCAUUAGAAGCUUGUCAAAUGGAGACGACCUUGCCAUUACACAGAUUUUGUCCACCUUCAACAUUCUCUCUUCCGGCGUGUAGUUGCGAAAUUGCACACCUUCUACCACUGCUCCACUGAACAUGUCCUGAUUAGGCUUGAGUAUCCCACAUUCUGCGGCUAUGGCUUUUGCAGUGAAAACAUUGUCACCUGUGAUCAUUUUGACAUUUACCCCUGCAUAUUGACAGUCUCCAACUGCUUUCUUCACCCCGGGACGGCAUGGAUCUUUAAGACCAACAAGUCCUAAUAGAGUCAAUCCAUCUUCUUUUAGCAAAGCUUUGUGGUCUCGUUCAUCCACUUGCUCCUCUGCUGGAAUUUCUUUAUGCGCAAAUGCAAUGCAUCUGAGGCUGCUAGCUGCCAUACCUUGAAUAAUCUGCUCAAAUCUCAUUUUUGCAUUGUCAUCCAUAUUUAUAACAAGUCCAGAGGCAUUGUAGUAACUUGUGCACAUUGCUAGUAUCAUCUCAGCAGCUCCUUUCCAAUGUGCUUGACUUGUAUUGUUGUCAGCCUUCCUCUUCAUCAAAACCCCACUUCGUUUCUUCUGUGAAUUGAAGGCCUCAACGUACAGAAUGCUACAACUCUUCACCACUUUCUGCAUAUCCAUCUUCGAUCCAUGUACCGCCCAUGAAAGAAUAGCCUUCUCAGUAGGACUGCCUGAGAUUUCAAUUUCUGAAUCGGAACUAGGCCUGUAUACACUACCAGUUGUAUUCAGAGCAACCCCUUCUUGGAUCAAAUUAAGAACAUAUGGAGAUAUAGAUGAAAAAGCUUCCUCUGCCACGGGUUCUUCACCCAACCAAAACUUAGUCACCUUCAUUUCAUUCAUGGUGAGAGUGCCUGUUUUGUCAGUACAAAUGACGGUAGCAGAGCCCAUGGUCUCACAAGCAGAGAGCUUCCUCACCAUUGCUUUAUCAACCAUCAUUCUCUUCAUGGAAUAAGCAAGAGUCAGAGUCACAGCUAGAGGCAAGCCUUCUGGAAUUGCCACCACAACAAUUGUAACUGCAGCUGCUACAAUCUCAACGACCGCGUUUAAUAUGUCAUCAACUUUGGUCUUGCUGCCAUUAUACUCCUGAUUUCCAUUCUCAUCCUGUGUAUUUCCUGUGAAGUAUCUAACUGACAAGACAAUGAGCACUAGAAAAGCAACAACCAACCCAACUUUACCAAUUGAUGAAGUUAGCUUGUUGAGGCGAGCUUGUAAAGGCGUCUGUUCAUUUGUGUCACGGCUGAUUUGGCUCAUCAUUUCACCCCAAGUUGUGUUCAUGCCCACAGAAGUUACAAGCAUCCGAGCGUAGCCAUCAGCCACCUUGGUGCCAGAGAACAAGAACGGAUUUUGGGUUUGAUUUAUUUCCACAUGGUCACUUUCCCCCGUCAUGCUUGAUUCAUCUACUUGUAAUGAAUGGCCAUCAAGAAACAACCCGUCAGCUGGAACUUGAUCUCCAAUCUUCAAGCAAAUGACAUCGCCAACAACAAUAUCGAAUAUUGAAAUCUGUUGGCGCCUGCCACCUCUCACAGCUUCAAUUUGGACGUUGUCGCUGACUUUUGAUAACUUAUCAAACUGCCUGUUCUGCCUGUAAUUACUUACAGCCGACACAGAAAUCACCAGAAUGAUUGCGAUAAGUAUGCUUCCACCAUCGAUCCAGCCUUCUUUAAGGCCAUGCACUUUGAUCCCGAGACCAAGAGAGAGUGCAGCACAGCCUAAGAGGAUGAUAAUUGUGAGGUCUUUAAAAGCUUCCCAAACAAAAUGGAAGAACCCUUUUGCUGGUGGCUUCAUGUAUGUGUUUGAGCCAAAGGCUUCAACUCUUUUGGCAAUGUCUUGAGCCUCACCAUAGCCAUGGAUUCCAUGCUCUGCAUCAGUUUUGAGAGCUGAUGCUAUUUCUUCAGCCCCUCCCAGCUCCCGGAGCUGGUUGAGGCUUCUCUCCUUGACAAGGUAAGUGAGGGUGGUUUGAUCAAUUUCAAACUCAUUAUCUGGCUCGACAGUAAGAGUGGCAUAAGAGGGAGAGCGAGGUAUUUUGGUGUUUGUGAAUUUGGGUUUGGAUGGAGAAGAAAGGUUGAAGGCUCUGGAGCAGUAGAUUGUUGCAAAAGCAGAAUGCCAUUUUCUUUGGUGUUUGGUAAGAGUGUUUUUUGGAACAGCAAAAAGCAACGCAAUUUCAAUGCACCCAAGUUUCGCAUGCAGGGUGGUCGACAUGCUGCUGCUCAGCUCAAUUGAAAACCGCAAAACUAAAGAAUGUGAUGAAAACUAAGGCAGAGAGAUGGAAAGACUAUUGUGACCAACUGACUCGCAAGGAGUUAUGGACACAAGAUUGACAAUUCUCAAGGAAAACUGAAAAGUGGAGAAAAUGUUUUGGGGAAUUUUUAAGGAAUUAAAUUGUUUAUAGAAUGCAAUUGUAGUGCGAGGAUCACCACCUUGCAUGAAGAGGCCUACUUAUAGUCUUCUUUUGUAAGAGGAAGACAAAAACAGCAUGUUUCUCAUCGGAAACUUGUACAUGAAGUUGUAGAGAAAGAACUUACAAGGACUAGCAGCAGGCUCCGGGAAACAACCCAGAAAAAAAAGAAGAAAAAAGGACCGCCGUACUUUAUGUCAGCUCUUAAUUUGUGUUCAUAUUUUUGAAGCUGACAUUGGCUUAAUCAAGUUGGCUAGAACAGAUGUGCUUCCCACUCUGUAUCCGAGUUCGGAUCCCCCUUUCUGUAGCUUAGGUUAGUUUAAAGUAAAUUAUCGCUUGAAUGAACAAAGUUUUUUUUGAAAUUGUUUAAUAUAUGAAGGUCGGUAUGAGAAACAAAUUAAUACAUAGAAGGUAUCUUCAGGCUCAAUAUAAUUGUCGGUGAAAGCUCCAAUAUUAAACCGAGUAUCAAUACCGCACCCAGUGGAAUUUGAAAACGCGGUCGACGCACCGUAGCAAUAUUUAUAUUUAAAAAUAAAAAAGAAUAGUAUUUUGGGAAAUUCUUCUCACGUAAACCCCACAACCGAACCAAAUCCACGUGAUUUCAAAUUAUUUACUUUGCAAGACAAAAUUACAUCUCAUUGUAGUGGGGUUUAUAAUGCUUUUUGUUUUUGAGAGGAGGGUUUAUAAUGCUGUAGAGGUUUUUUGGUUUCAAAAAGAGGUUGAGUUUUGUUUUCCGAUCUCAUUCACUGAAAAAUAAACGGAUGUUGUGAGAGAGAGACUAACCGUUAGGUUCCAUUUGGUUCAUGGGAAAUGAGAAUUGGAGAUGGGAAAUCAAUUACUUUCCUAUGUUUGGUAAGUCCAGGCAUAGGAAAUCAUUGCCUAGCCCAUGGGAAAGUAGGAGGAAAAGUGAAGCCAUCUUCCUAACUUGGGUUUUGUUUUUGACUUAAAUGUCGAAAUGGUCCCUAUGUUCUACCUUAUCGGCCAAUUUAGUCCCUGUGUUAUUAAUUUGGCCAAUUUAGUCCCUGUGUUUGUAUAUGUUAACACAUUUGAUCCUUUCUGUCAAAAUUAUGUUAAAACCUAUAAAUAAAUAAAAUAUUUAAAAUUAAUUUAAAAAUCUGUAAUUAAUUAUAAAGAUUGAAACUCAAAUAAUAAUAAUGCUAAAAUGAUUAAAAGCCACACAACCUCAACCUCAAAUGGUCUCGAUUCCUGUAGGAAAAAAAAGGGUUCUUAGUUGAAUUGAUGCCUACUCUUUUCUUGCUGCAAUUUUUCUUCUCUCUUAUGUUUAAGAUUUUCUCAUACUCUACCCUUCAUCUCUCUCUCCUCUUCGAUCCAUUGGCCUGAAUAUCGUUGACUUUUGCUGCAGCGAGGAUGAUCAAUUGGCGGUAGAGCCAUCAAGGUUACGGUGACCGGCUAUGAAGAUCUUCGUGAUUUGUCAGAGAGGAAGCCAAGAGAGAGAGAGAGAGAGAGAGAGAGAGAGAGAGAGAGAGAGAGAGAGAGAGAGAGAGAGAGAGAGAGAGAGAGAGAGAGUUGUUGUGGUUAGGUGGGUGGGUUUGGGAGGUGGCUAUGGUUUGGGGUUGGAGUGGUGGUGGUGAGGGUGGCUGGGUUUGGGAGGUGGUUGAGGUGUGUGGCGAAAUUGGGGAAGGUGAAAUUUAAAAAAAAAUAUUCCAUUUUCAGAUUGAAUUUAAAAUUUUAUAAUCAAUUACAGUUUUUAUUUUAAUUAAUUUUAAAUAUUUUAUAUUUUAUAUUUUGAAGGGAAUGGACCACAUUGACUAAUAUAUACAAACACAAGGACCAAAUUGGCCAAAUUGAUAACACAUGGACUAAAUUGGCCUAUGAGAUAAAACACAGGGACCAUUUUAACAUUUAAGCCUUUGUUUUUCUCAUCAUGGGAAAGUUUGGAGAAAUUAACCAAUAUUAAAUACACAUUUUUCAUGACCAUUUUGUCCCCAUUAUGAGUAUAAUUGAAAAUUUAUACAAACUUUGUUUCUCAUUCCUACUCAAAACAAACAUGGGAAAGGAAAUAAAAAGGAAACACAUACACAUCACUCUGAGCCAAAGAAAUCAUACGUCACUAAAAAGAAGUAAGUAUGACGCCUUCAAAACUUCAAUAGGAGUGGUUAAAUGCAUAUUUUACGGCAAAGAUUCAAAUUGUGGACUUGACUCAAGUUAAAGUCAUGCACAAAUUAGAGCAACAAUGCAGUGGCAUAAAAUAAAACGCAAAGAAAAGAGCUCUUUAACUCGGACCGACGAAAUAGGAAAAUAUUAGGAAGAUCAUAUUUAAAGACCAUCUUGUGUAUCACAUUUCUAAUAGAUGUGGAUUAAAAAUAUUCAAUUUUAAACCUUAAACCCUACAAUACUCAAUUUUAAAUUAAAAAUAUAAUUAAAGAUAUAUAGAAAAUAGAGGGAAAAAGAAGAUGUUGACGUCGAGUAGCUGAGAAAGAGAGAAACAAGUUGAUAUCGCAUAGCCAAAAGAGAAGGAAAGAGAAGAUAUUGAACCACCUAGAUAGGCAACUGUGUGUAGAGUUUGCUUUUUAUUUUUAUUUUUAUUUUGGGCUAGGCUUAUAACAUAUGUGGGUAUUUUUUAUAUUUUAUUUUUUAAUUUGGGUUGAACGAGCACCCAACCUGCCCUAUGCACAUAACCACCCAUGUGUGGAACUCACUGUAUUGGUGGGCUCCACUUUUACUAGAGAGAUGAUACAUAAUGUGGUCUAAAUGUAUUCUCCCUAGCAUGACCUGACCAAAUAACACAGUAAUUACAUGCCACUUGUCUUCAAUCCGCAUGAGGGGCGACAAACAUGCAACGUGUACCAAGCGCCAGAUCCAAGAAUUUCUCCAUAAUUAAGGUGUUGCGGAUGGUUCAACUAAAUUUUAAGUCUACAAGAGUCUUGGGGUCAACUUAAAUGUUUUAGUUCAAUUUUUCGUACCAAAUUGUUAACAACCUUCACCUGAAAGUGUGAUAGAAAAUACAAAGAAUGUAUGGUGAGAAAGAAUGGUAUAAGUAAACUACUCUUAUUAUGCCAUAAAGCAAGGUAAUGAAUUUCUUUGUCAACCAGACAAUUAUUUUGUUUUCUGAUGUUGAUGCUCAAAAUGGCCCGGCCAAUAGUGAGUCCAACUUAGUGAUGAGGUGUGAUGGAUGAUGGAUGAAGGUGAGGAUCUUCACCAAGUGUGUGAGGAUUUGGGCAAACGAUAAACAUAUGGAAGACAAGAUAUACGUGGUUCACCCGAAUGAUAGGCUACGUCCACGGAGAAGGGUGUUCUCAUUAUGAUAAUGUUUGUUUACAUUUGUACAAGGGGAUUAGACCCAAAUAUAAAGAUAACAAGUGAGAAGCCCAGUCUAGUGAUCUAGAAGAGAGAGUCCAAGGCCUAAGGGUCUAGAUCCAAGACCCGGAUCCCCCUCUAAGGAAAGAGCAGUCUUCUUUUAUAGGUGAGGGGGAGUCCAUCUCUUGUAGUUUUCCGAUGUGGGACUCCUCUUACUCUGCUUAGAGUUGUGAUUUGUGGUGGUGCUUCUUGGGCUAAGGUGAUGACCUCUCAAAGCAUGGCACGUGGAUGAUCUAGCCUAGCUAGUUGCUCGGUCAGUUACGGUACCAACAGUAGUCCCCCAAGUUCUCGAGUAAGAAGGUACUUCUUGGUUGGGGACUUGUAAUUUUAAGUGCACUGGCCGAGCAACACCAUAGUUCAUCUUCCAAGCUGUAUAGUGCACUACCCAUAGUCCCCCAAGUCCUCGGGUAAGAAGGACAUUUGGAAGGGAGAGAACUUGGCACGAGGGUGCCGAAGGUGAAGAGGUAGCCGAAGGGACAAAGUUGCAUGUCUCAGGGUAAUGUGGUUGGGCACGAGGGUGCCGAAGGCAUAUGAAUUGCAUGUGUCAAGGCGAUGGGCUUAGGCACGAGGGUGCCGAAGGUGACACUAAGCUUGCAUGUUUGCAAGGCAAUGUGUUUAGGCACGGGGGUGCUGAAGACAAAGAGAAUGUCGAAGGAGACAUGAAGCUUGCAUGUCACAAGGCAAUGUGGCUGGGCAAGAGGGUGCCGAAGGCACAAAGCUUGCAUGUUGCAAGGCGAUGUGGCCUAGGCACAAGGGUGCCGAAGGCAUAAGACUUGCAUGUUGCAAGACAAUGAAGCUAGGCACGGGGGUGCCGAAGGCAAAGGGGAUGCCGAAGGCACAGAGCUUGCAUGUCGCAAGGCAAUGUGCCUAGGCACGAGGGUGCCGAAGGCAUAAGACUUGCAUGUUGCAAGACAAUGGAGCUAGGCACGGGGGUGCCGAAGGCAAAGGCGAUGUCGAAGGCACAGAGCUUGCAUGUCGCAAGGCAAUGUGCCUAGGCAAAGGGGAUGCCGAAGGCACAAAGCUUGCAUGUCGCAAGGCAAUGUGUCUAGGCACGGGGGUGCCGAAGGGGACACAAAGCUUGCAUGUCGCAAGGCAAUGUGCCUAGGCACGAUGGUGCCGAAGGCAGAAGAAUUGCAUGUCGCAAGGUGGUGGGCCUAAGCACGAGGGUGCCGAAAGCAUCACAAAGCUUGCAUGUCGCAAGGCGAUGUGGCUAGGCACGUGGGUGCCGAAGGCGACACAAGGCUUGCGACAGCUUGCAUGUCGCAAGGCGAUGUGGCUAGGCACGUGGGUGCCGAAGGGGACACAAAGCUUGCAUGUUGCAAGGCCAUAUGCUUAGGCACGGGGGUGCCGAAGACAAAGGGAAAAAUGUAAGAAUGCAUUUUUUUUUUUUUUGAAUGGCCGGGCCAUUUUGAGAGAGCUUGAAGGUUUUCUUGAAUUGGGCCUUCAGCAAGUAUGAAGGGCUUGAGGUGGGCUUCGGCAGGUAGGGUUUUGGAGGAGGGGAGUAUGUAAAUAAGGGGUGGCCACCAUGCCGUUCGGCAGUUCUCACUUCGGCACUUUGGGGUAGAAAGUCUUGGAGUGUGCUAGGUCUCCCUUUCCGUGUUGGGUCUAGGUUUUAGUCUAGCAGUUCAGCAAGCGUGAUUCGGCAGGUAGCGUUGGGCUUAGCAGCUGGUUCGGCAGGCGGCGAGGCAGCUGGUUCGGCAGGUGUGGUGCUGAGCCGAUCGGCAGGUUCUGGCCAAGGUGCAGUUGAAGUGCUGCUGAGAUCAAAGGGGAGCCGCGACUGAUCUUGCCGUUCGGCAAGAGGCUUGGGUCGAAGGGGCUGGGCAGUUGUCUAGGCAGGCUAUUCUGUCCGAGGAGGUUGAAGUGCUGCCGACUGGUCUUGCCGUUCGGCGAAGGACUUGGCGGCGGCUGAGUGGUCCCGCGGCUGGAGGCUUCGGCAGGGGUGGUUGCACCUUCUUGAUUCCGUAAGUCCCCACUUGCUUCCGCGUUCCCCUUGCCGAAUGGCAAGGGAGGGUUGAAAGUUUUUUGAGGUCUCCCCUUCGUGAGAGCUGGGUGCUGUUUGAAAUUCGGUAGGUGGCUUGAGCAAGGAUUUGUCGUUCAGUGGCACAGCUUCAGCACCUGGGUUUGAAGCUUUCAAGAACCUUCAGCGUGGGACCUGCCGAUCGGCAAGUGCCCCUUGUGAGUUUGGGAAACACCUACCUUUCGGCAGGGCCUGGUGUCUUCAACCCUUGCCGAACGGCAGGAGCCGUCUGGAGGAGAAAUUUGGGGACCGCUCAAGGGAAAUCUUUCACGGGACCUACCGUUCGGCAGCACACACCCAGCACGGGUUGUUUUGGCAGCACACCUUCGGCAGGUUUGGAGAAGAAUUUCGGGUAAGGGCCUUGGAGCUGAGCUACUGCCGUUUCACAAGAGAGCUGGGCAAUUGAGGCUUGGCUUUCGGCAAAGAGUUUUAGUUUCGUAGCCGGGGCUGGGCCCUCUGAAUUUUGGUCGUGUGCUCUUUUAUUUCUGCUCGACCCUUGCCGUUCAGCAAGUGUGGGAAAAUUGGGAAAUAUUGAGGUCACGGCAAGGCCAUUUUGAAUUGUACUCCCGUUUAGCAACCUCAAUCUUAAUCGAGUGGUCUAUUGUUGUGUCUAGCAGGAGCUGGGUAUGAAACAAUUUGGCGAAACUUUGAGGCUGAGCCUGUGAAGGUUGGCGAAAAUUUGGAGCGGAGGAAGUCGAGAGAACUUUAGGGUUUAGGGUUCUUGGGUCUGUGCAAUUGGCUUCAGUCAGCUCACUAGCUCCGUUCGGCAAGAGUCUAUCACUCGGGUCUUGUGAGUUUUGACUUGAAGGUUGAGCACCGCUCAUCUCAAAGGAAAGCUGCCCGGGUCAAUCAGUUUGAUGUUUUCUUCUAUGCUUGUUUGAAAAUUUUGGUCAAUUGGCUUCAGAGACCAAUCUGUAGUAACUAAUGUGCAAGAGGUGAGGUCCACCACUUUCUCUUGGAGUGGAAUUUUGGAACUGCUUCUUCAGCUUUGGACGGAAGCUGUUGCCCGCUUAAUGGGGUGGUGAAAAGAGGGGAUAUUCAAAUGCUAUGAUGCCUUGGGAGAUAUGAUUAGAGAUUGCCGUGCGGAAUAUUGGUACCCUCGGCAUGCCGGAUCCAAGUUAUCCUCUGUUGAAGACAUUAUGGGUGUCUUGAGAAUUUUUAGGUGGCUAGACAGAUCGGUGAGAGUGACAUGGUGCCUCAAAUAUGAGAUAAAUCUUUAGUUUGGAGAUGAGCGACUGCAGAUGAGGUGCCAUUUGGUAGUUUGCAUGAGCCUUGCUUCAGAUACGAUAACUUCUACUUCUACUUCUUGGGGUGUCCUGCGUUCAGAAUUUUUGAAUUUGCUGUUUUGAGCCGGGCCGCGCAGCGGUGGUCUGGGCUCUAAUUGGGUCUUUUGCAAGACGUUUGACAAAGUGGGUGUCUUGAUAAAUUCAGUAGUUGGGUGAUGUAAUUAGAGGUGGCCUCCUGUCUUGACUUGGACAUCAUGCAUAUCUUGAGCAAUUGAUUGAGACAUGGUGGGUCUGUUUAUGUGUAUGAGAUUUGCUUCAGAUGUAGCUUGUCUAAGAUACUUGGAUUUGGUUGUGCCGAAAAGAGUUUGGGCAUUGGGUGUUGUACAGCACUUGCAACUAGUUUUGUCUCCUGGAAGCGAACCACGUGGGCAUUGGGUACCCAAUAUUUUGCCAAAGACGUGUAGAAUAUACAAGGGCCCCCAAACUUUCUUCUUCAAAGAGGUGCCGAAUGGCACUUUGAAUUGAGAUGGUGGUUUGACCAUGCAAGCCAUGCAAGACAUGAAAAGGGUAGCUACAUUCUGAAUGGCUAAUAGAUUAGUGGACUUGUACCAUUUAUGUCGGCAAAUGAGAAUAAAAUAAAGACACAAGAUGAGAAAUGGAGAUCUUAUCUUUUGGGAGCCCACUCAUCAAUAUUCACCAAAGGUGCCGAGCGGCAAGGCAUGUAAAGGAAAGCUAGGGUGGCCUACAUAUUUCCUCUUCUUCUAGAUUAUUAUAUUGCAAGGAUUCAUCUUCUGCAUCACUCUUGUCGGACAGCAAGUUAGGUGAUGUUGAUUGUAGGGGUGCCGAAGGCACUGAAGAAAGGGAAGAACGACAGAAAUCUUUUGUGUCGAUUCCCACAGACGGCGCCAAACUGUUGAUGCUCAAAAUGGCCUGGCCAAUAGUGAGUCCAACUUAGUGAUGAGGUGUGAUGGAUGAUGGAUGAAGGUGAGGAUCUUCACCAAGUGUGUGAGGAUUUGGGCAAACGAUAAACAUAUGGAAGACAAGAUAUACGUGGUUCACCCGAAUGAUAGGCUACGUCCACGGAGAAGGGUGUUCUCAUUAUGAUAAUGUUUGUUUACAUUUGUACAAGGGGAUUAGACCCAAAUAUAAAGAUAACAAGUGAGAAGCCCAGUCUAGUGAUCUAGAAGAGAGAGUCCAAGGCCUAAGGGUCUAGAUCCAAGACCCGGAUCCCCCUCUAAGGAAAGAGCAGUCUUCUUUUAUAGGUGAGGGGGAGUCCAUCUCUUGUAGUUUUCCGAUGUGGGACUCCUCUUACUCUGCUUAGAGUUGUGAUUUGUGGUGGUGCUUCUUGGGCUAAGGUGAUGACCUCUCAAAGCAUGGCACGUGGAUGAUCUAGCCUAGCUAGUUGCUCGGUCAGUUACGGUACCAACAUCUGAUAACCUGGUGCUUUGCUUCAGCAUUCAACAACCUUUGGUAGGAACUGGGCAUUUGCAUGGUUGCUUAAGAAUAAAUUGUCUAGAAUUUUUAGAUCAAGUUGUUUGACUCCAAAUGUGAAGGCUCAAAAGUAAACAAUGGGAAGAAUUACCUACGUCAAACGCAACAAUUAUGCCAUGGUGUGAAUCUGAACCACAAAAGAGAGAAAACCCCAAGGCCCUGUUUGGUGGCCAAGACUGGACACGAUUGGACUAGAUUAAACUUCUAGGAUUGGAUUGGUUAGGACCAGUCAAGAAUCCUGUCCAUGAUUUGGUGCAACACCAGUCUGGACCAAACUAAAAAAAAAAACAGAAAAUUCGAAAAUUAUCAAAAAAAUCUUCAGAACUUUGAACUUCAUCACACAAAAAUUAUCAGGGGAAGAGAGGAAGAUUCAUAAACCCUAAGCACCAAAUAUUACAAAAUAGAGAAAGAGGGGAAGAUUCUCAUAAACCCAAUCUAGGAGAUGCAAAGAUUCUCAUAAACCCAGUCUAUCAGAACAUUGAAUUUCACACAAAAAUCAUCAGAUUAAUAUGAAGAUUUUCCCAGACAAGGAGAGAAAAAAUCAAAGAUAGAGAAUAGAAGAGAGGUGCGAGAAUAGAGAAGAAGCAAAUCACGCACGAACGAGAGGUUGGAGAAGACGAACGCGAGUUGAGGAACCCGAACAGAUAACGAGCCAGAGGUUGAGAAACCCGCUGUUAUUAUAAGACUAACGUCCAAGAUCUAUAUCCAGUCUGUGGUGUGGAUCUAUAUCAAAUAUGUGCGUCUUGGUGACGACGUUGUGAAGAAGUUAUUUGGUGGAUCUAUGUCAAAUAUGUGCGCCUUGGUUUGAUUCGAGCGGUGGUGGUGAUAGGGCAUUAUGUUUUGUUUAUCUUUUUAGUUCGCCUUGGUUUGAUUCGAGCGGUGGUGGUGAUAGGGCAUUAUGUUUUGUUUAUCUUUUUAGUUAUGGUUUGUUUGUCUCCGUGAGAUUGUUGAAUUGUCUCUUUUCUUGGGAGCGGUGUCUUCGGGUGUUUUUCAACUUUCCACUCUAUAAUUUACGAAUUAUUCAAUUAACCAAGGAAGGAACUACUGAUAAGAGAAUUUGUUGCUGUUGCCUUGAAUCACCUUGGACGCCGCUACUCGAAUUUAUAGUUCCUUGGAUAAAGAGGUUACUUGGAAACUCUUUGGUGACGUGAGCGUGUGCUAUAUGAACUGGACAACGCGGAGUAUAACGUAUGCGAAGGGUGCAUUUUAAUUCUGUUUGUGUAACGUUUUCUCAAACUCAUACAUAAGUGUAUUUAAUGUGUUCAAAAACUCUUUGUCUCCGUAAGGCUCGCAUAAAGGAUUUAAUGGGAAAUGAAAGAUUUAUUUUUCAUGUUUGAUAAUGCUGAAAAAGUAACUAGGAAAAACCACUUUAUUUCCUUUUCCAUGUUUAGUUUGUGUAAGAAUGUAAAACAAAAUUUGUCUUAUUUUUCAAUUAUACCCACAUUAGAUUAAAAACAAAAAAGAAUGCAUUUAAUACUAUAUUGUAAUUCUAAAUUGUUAAUAGAGACAAAAUGAUCAUUAAAAAGGUGCAUUUAAUGCUGGCCUUAGUUUCACAUGGGAAGGAAAAAUGAAAUCCAGGCAACUAUUUCAUUCCCCUUAUUUUCUUAUAUGCCAGACAACUAUUUUCCAUUUUUGGACUUACCGAACAUGGAAAAUCAAGAUUUUCCAUCUCAUUUCUUAUGAACCAAACACUCAUUUUGUUUUCUUUACAAGUAAAAGAUAGUACUUAUGUUAAAUAAAUAAAUUUAUGUGUGAGUAGAAUAUAUGCAGCACAAACCUGAAUGAGCAAGGCAAAAAGAAGAAGACAAGAAGGAAGGUACCUACCUGGUAUUCUCACGCUAUUGUUGUUGAAAAAGGGAAAGAAAAUACAGGUCGGUUUUCCACAUACUUUAUAAAAAGAAAUAAAAAAGCCAAAGAAAUUUAAGUCGUCUUUUUUAAGUGGUUCUCACGCUCAUUCAUUCUCUCUGCAAUUCCACUGCAUUCAGAUUGAUUAAUGUUCAAGUUUCCUUUUCUUUUCUUUUAAAAAAAAAAUUAAUUUAAUUUAAUUUUUAUAAUGAUAACUUUGAUGUAUACAACACAAAUUAGUUGGUACAAUUCAAUGUACCAAACAUAAAAAUACCUGGUAGUAUUUCUCUCUUGUCAAAAAGUUUGCGUUAAACACUUUUGUUUUUCUUUUCUUUUGUUUAAGAAAGUUGGGUUUCAUGAAAUUUGAACUUGACAUCAUUGUCUACAACAAAAUGAUACUACCGUCAAGUAUUUAAGAGUUAAUAAAAUAUCUAACAUCACUCUUCUUGCCCACUAAGGGAUCAGAGUGGUCCCGGCCCUCGUCACAAUAUAUUAAUAUAUUUUGUGAUAUUUUUAGAGUAUUUAUAAUCAUGUUCCUUAUUUUUCAGUUAAGAUUUGGUUAAAAACACAUAAAAAUUAUUUUAAGAGCUCUCUAUAAAAUUUGAACUCCAAUCUACUCUCUAGUUUAGGGAGUCAUAAAUAUUAUAGUUGUUUUAUUUUAUUUAUUUAUUAUUAUUAUUUAAUUCAAUAUGAUUGGUCCAUCUCUAUAAAAAAAAAUAGUUAGCAUUAAUUAAAAGUUUAAACUAUACAUAAAAUAAAGCAGCAUUAAAUUAUAGGGAGUCACUAGGAGUCAUUUCUCUCUCCUCAAAUUUAGGAGCUCCUAGAGGUCUCCAUAUUUUAGGAGGUGGAUAGGGAGCAUGGUUGGAGUUGUAUUUUUCGAAUGCAUCUCUAAAAUUUGUCUAAGGAGGUGGUUUAGGGAGCCCAUUGUGGAUGCUCUUAAUAUUUUAAGAGUCUCCUAUUCAAGUUUACCUCUUUUUUUAGAUCACUUUCCUUAAAAUUUAAUUAGUAUACGUAUUAUUAUUAUUUUUAUGCAAAUCCUUAAAAUCCAAGAGUCAUUUUCAACCAUUUCUUUGCUCUUAUAAGUAGGUUGGAUCACAUGAUUCACUAGUGCAGUAGUUUGGGGUAUUUACUCCCUCAGGCAAGGUCUUGGGUUCGAGUCUUAGCAUCCAUGUAGUGUGUAUAAGUUUAGUAUACUAUCGUCCCUCUCAAUAAGAAAGGUCUUUAAAAAAAAAAAAGUUGGACACCAUAUUUGUGACUUUGGUUUAUUAUGUUAUUCUUCAUAUGAUAUAAUAUGUAUUAUCAAGUUUCAAUUAGGUUGGAUGCUCUCUUGUUCAUGAGAAGAGUUGUGGGAAACAACUUUUAGAACCAAGGGUUUCUGCGCAGCUAGGGUUUUCAGUCUUGUCACUCUCAGACGUCGGCUCCUGAUGUUGCUCCCUUGACGUCUCCAGCCUCCAACGUUUGUGCGAAGUUGCCUAUUGCUGCUUUGCUCAUCAUCUCAGUAAGUUUCGUUAGUACACAAAACUCUUUGUUUGGUUUUCCCCCUUGUCUUUGGCUAUCGCAGACUUGCUCUCUUACGCAAGGAGAGCCGUGGAAAAAACACACAAAGCCUAGGGUUUGCUCUUGCUCGUUGACUUGUGGUUGUCGCUGCCUCCUUUCCUCUCUAUACGUUUUGUCCUGCUGAUUUUGGUUUCAUGGUAGGGUUUCUGUCGAUGGAAGAUUUAGGGUGCGACGGUUGAUUUUCGUUCUUGAGUGUGUUGGUGGGAGGAUGAGGAUCCUGGUUUUUGGUAAAGGGCAAGGUUUUGAUGAGACUAAGAAGUCCAAUGCUCGGGUGAUUAGCUUCUAUGACCAUCCUGGGCCUAGCCAGCGAUGCACAAGUAUGAGCCUUCGGAAGCAUCUCUGGAAACUGAGAUUGCUCACCGGAGUUGUCGCUACCUGGCUGAUGAUGGCUUGGAGAUUUUGCAGUGGCGCCCUUUCUAAUAUGGCUUAAGGAGACCGGUUUUGUGGGGCCUCUUGGGGGCCAACCUUAGUGUGCGGUUGGAGUGUUCGUGGGCUUGGCAUCCUAUGAAUGCUCUGUUCCCUAAAGCCUCAUUCUUAAGGUUAAGUGGCUGACGUGGGGUUUGUUUUGUGUGGUGUUUUAUGUUGUCUACCUCUCUAAAUGCUUUCCACUUUUGUGUUGUUCAACGGACUAUGGUUCUUUCAUAGGAGGUUUCUUUUGACAGUGUUAGGAUGCAACAAUGUGUUUUCUGAAGGGUUUUUCUUUGUUGUUGUCCUUUUGUUUUUCUCCCACUGUUGUGUUGACCCUUUGCAGCUGUUCUCUGCUCUACGCUGCACGAAGAACUAUGCUUGGUCAUAGAAGGUUUUUCUUUCUCAGGCACUGAGUUUGGUGGGCUUCUCUGGGGUUCCUCUUUGUUGUCGUCUCUUUUUUUUCUUCGCGUCUUCUCUUGUGUCUCCGACUCUUGGUGUGCGAUGUUGUUCUUGUGAUGUACAAAAGACUAUAAGUUCUCAUAGAAUGCUUCUUUUAACAGUUUGGUUGCAUUGCGGUUCUCUCUUGUGGGUCUACUGUGUUGGUGUCUAGUAAGUAUUUUUUUUUUCUGGUUUUUUGUAACGGUCCUAAGUAGCUUGGGUCAGACUCUCCUAUUAGUUCAUGGCAUGUGUGGUACUCUUUCUUACCCGGGAUUUGUCCCAUGUGAUUUUUCUAAGAAGUUUAUAACGAGGCCACUGUAAUCAUGUUGUUGUUUGUAUGCCAAUUAUGGUUUAUGAAUGAAAUCUUCUUCUCAAAAUUUUCAAUUGGUUUGACUCAAUUAAGGUUUGUUAAUCUUUCUCGUAUUUUUGAGUGUUUUCUCCACAUAUGGUUUGUUUGGGUUUGUGAAAUUUUGAUUUAAUAUCUAUUGAGCUCAAUUUAUGUGAGGUUACCAAAGAAAAAAAUUUGUAAAUAUUUUUUUAGGCCAGUUUGGCAUUGCUGUGCUAUGAAAAUAAUCGAAGUCAGAUUUGCUGUGAGAGAAAUCAGUUGUGGAAUAAAGCAAUUUGGCGUUUGGUAAACUUUUUGUUAAAAGUGUUGUUAGUACUGAUUCCCACAUAAUCAGAAAAUGAUUGCCGCAUAAGCAUUAAACCCAGCACCUUUUCGAAACUGAUUUCUGCAUAAUUAGAAAAUGAAAGCAUCUCAUUAGCUGUUUUCCCUUAUAACUUUCUCUCACAACAAUUUUUAACAAUAAGUGAUUUUCUCAUAGUUUACCAAAUGGGCUGAGCUUCUCAAAUUUUUUAAAAAAUCACUUAUCACCUCAAAUAAGCAAUGCCAAUCGGACACUUUAUAUAUGAUCCUUUCGGUCAGUGGCGGACCUGUGCAGCGCAAUGAGGUGCACUUGCACCUCCGGUCACCGGAAAAGUCCAUUACAACAGCUGGAAUUGCACCUCUGCUUUAGAAAUGAGAUGCACAGAACCCGUUCGACGAAAUGCUCAAACCGGCUGGGAGAGUUGAAUCGCUGUUCACAGUGCGCCUCCUUAUUAUUAUUUUUUUAAUACAGCCUGGCCAAAACGACGUUGUUUUGGACUAGGGUUUUAAAGAGGCGCUGAUGUGGUUUUUUUUUAUUAUUUAAAUUUUAAUUUUAACCUGGCCAAAACAACGUCGUUUUGGACCAGGGUUUUUUUUAUAAAAAAAAACUUAAAAAUGUAAGAAAACUGCUGCGCUGCUGGGCCAUUCUAUUGGGCUUUUUAAUUUAUAUUAUUCCUUACUUAAUUGGGUUUCCAUUUUUUAUAUUUCCUUACUUAAUUGGAUUUUUAGUGAGAGUUAUCUUUAUUCAAUUAGGUUUUGGGAAUUCCUUAUUUAAUUGUGAUUGAAAUUCUCUAUAUAAAGGACCAAUUUAUUCAAUUGUGUAUGCAUCACAAGAAUCCUACGUUUUUUUCUUCUUCUUGAGUAAUGGAAUGGUACUUUCAUAGAAAGAGUUUAAAUCCUCCUUCAAAUAAUCCGAGUUGUUCAAAUCCUCCCUCAAAUAAUCCAGCUAGUUCCAACCCUCCUUCAAAUAAUCCAGCUAGUUCAAAUCAACCUUCAAAUAAUCCGCCUACUUCACAUCCUCCAUUGAAUAAUUCGGGUAGUCCAAAACAUUCGCAAGUCACUGAGUUGGAUGAAAUAUUGGCUAAUCUUCCUGCAGACCCUGGACUUAGACCUCCAAUGAAUUAUUGUAAUCCCAAUUUUCGAGAACAAAUUCGAAGAGCCUAUCUGCAAAGGGGUCCUUGUCAGCCUAAAAGCCAAAACGACAUGCCUCAAACACUUAUGGGGGAGAGUAAUCGACUCUUUCUUGUGAAAUGGUUUGAUUCAUUUGUUUGGUUGGAGUAUAGUAAAGAGAAAGAUGUUGCAUUUUGUCUUCAUUGUUAUCUUUUUAAAUGCGACUUUGAUAAACAAGGAAAGGCUGGAAGCGAUGUCUUCAUUGAGAAAGGGUUUAAAAAUUGGAGGAAGGGACCCGAGAAUUUUAGGGACCAUGUUGGACAAGUUGGAAGUCUUCACAAUAAAGCUACACAACAUUGUACAAAUUUAAUAAAUCAGAAGCAACACGUUGAAACCAUUGUGAUCAAGUAGACAGACCAAGCUCGUAUUAAUUAUCGCAUUCUAUUAAUUGCUGCACUUGAUUGCACUAGCUAUUUCUUGCGACAAGGUCUUCCUUUUCGUGGCUAUGAUAAAAGCGAAACAUCUAGCAAUAAGGGUAAUUAUGUGGAGCUUUUGCAAUUUCUUGCCGAUCAUGAUGAGAAAGUUCGUGCCGUUGUGUUUGAAAACGCUCCAAGGAAUCUCAAGUAUAUUGCUCCUACAAUUCAAAAAGAUCUUAUCAAUUCUUGUGCCGCUGAAACCAUGGAUGCAAUUAUUAGUGAUAUGGACGAUGUAUUCUUUUCUAUAUUGGUAGAUGAAUCACGUGAUGUUUCAAUAAAAAGCAAAUGACAGUGGUGUUGCGUUAUGUGAACAAAAAAGGGCAAGUAAUUGAAAGGUUUGUGGCUGUCCAAUAUGUCUCUGAUACGACUAGUAGCAAAUUGAAAGAGGCAAUUGAGCAGUUGAUUUCUUCAACAAAUUUGAGCAUGUUCAGGCUACGAGGACAGGGGUAUGAUGGCGCUAGUAAUAUGAGAUGUGAGCUCAAUGGUCUUAAAACACAGAUUUUGAGAGAAUAUCCUCAACCAUAUUAUGUCCAUUGUUUUGCACAUCAACUACAACUAGCUCUUGUAGCCGUGGCAGAUGGAAAUGAAAACAUUGCUACUUUCUUCACAACAGCUAGUAGUGUUGCUAAUAUUAUUGGAGCAUCGUGUAAGCAUCGUGAUUGACUUAGAGAGCAACAACAAAAAGAUAUUAUGAAAACUAUUGAUGAUCUUGAAAUGGGGCGAGGGUUAAAUCAAAAGACUACUCUCAAACGUCCUUGUGAUACACGUUGGAACUCACAUUAUGAUACUUUACAUAGUAUUAAUAUUAUGUUUCAUCCCGUGGUGAAGGUGCUUGAAUGGAUUGUUGAUGAUGUCAACCAAGAUAAUUUAGGUAAAGCAAAUUGGUUGUUGAAAGAAAUACAAACUUUUGACUUUGUGUUUCACUUAUAUUUGAUGAGAUUUAUAUUGGGAAUCACAAAUGAUUUGUCAAAGGCAUUACAAAAGAAAGAUCAAGAUAUUGUGAAUGCGAUAAUGUUGGUCCAAAGAUAUAAGCAAAAGCUACAAUCCGUGAUGGAUGAUGACUUUGAUGAUUUGCUCAAGGAAGUAUCAAUAUUUUGUGGUAAAAAUGAUAUUGACGUUCCUAACAUGGAUGAUUUAUUUGUACCACAAGGGAGAUCAAGACGUAAAGCUCAGAAAAUCACAAACCGCCAUUAUUAUCGUGUGGACUUAGUUCUUACUAUCAUAGAUAAGCAACUAGUGGAAUUGAAUAAUCGCUUCACUGAGGUAAAUACUGAAUUGCUUCUUUGUAUGGCAUGUUUGAGUCUGGCUUAUAAUUUUGCAGCUUUUGACAAACAUAAAAUACUUCGUUUUGCUAAAUUUUACCAUCAAGAAUUUAAUGACCGAGACCUCAUGAAGCUUGAAGAUCAACUUGGGCUUUAUAUUGUUGAUAUGCAGAGCAUCACAGAGUUUUCAUCAUUGAAAGGAAUUACUGAUCUGGCAGAAAAAUUGGUGAAUACAGGAAGGAGUAGAAUAUACAACUAUGUGUAUUUACUUCUUACAUUUGCUUUAGUUUUACUCGUUGCAACUGCUUCGGUUGAGAGAGCUUUUUUAGCUAUGAAUAUUGUGAAAACACUAUUGCGUAACAAAAUAGGGAAUCAAUGGUUGAGUGAUAGCUUGGUUGUUUACAUUGAGAAAGAUGUUUUUUCUUGUAUUAGUAAUGCAAAUAAAAUGCGACGUUUUCAUGAUAUGAAACCUCGUCGGCAACAAUUGUAGGUCAAUUGUAAUGUUAUUAUUUUAAGGAUUAACGUCACUUUAGUCCCUGUAGGUUUAGUGUCAGUAUCGAAAUGGGCCCCAAGGUUUGAGUUUUAUCAAUUUCGUACCCAACAUUUCGAAAUAUUACCAAUUUACACCAGCCGUUACAUUGACCGUCAAAGUCAGACGUUAAAUGCUGACGUGGCAGUCGUGGGACCCACAUCAUAACCAAAUAGCUGUUAGAAAGCGACAUCACGAUGGGCAAUUUCGGAAGAAAAAAAUCGAAGAAAACGAAGAGUUCGCUUACCUGGGUUGGAAAAAUCGAACCAACUCAGUUUCUGAUUUGUGUUCGUGUUUUCGAGAGCAAAGGAGCGAGGAAAAAAGUGGAGGGAAACUGACGAAGAAGAUCCGAUUGGCUGGGCGAAAUGGAUGAAGAGGCGCCGAUGUGUUGGUGCGGAAAGGCUGCUACAAUUCGAACCUCUUGGACAGAUUCGAAUCCUGGGAGGCGAUUUUCCAUGUGUGCAGCCAAGGUACGUGAGACUAAGAGGGGUUUUAAGGGCUGUGAAUUUUGGGCAUGGUUUGAUCCGGCCAUGUGUGCACGGUCGAAGGCAGUGAUUCCUGGGCUUUUAAAAUCGCGGAAUAAGCUGGAGAAGUCAAUGGCAAUGGCAAGACAAAGAGAAAAGGUCGUUUGGGUGUUGUUGGUGGCUUCGUGGGUUCUAUUUGCAAGCAUCAUUUUGGGAGGGAUGUGUGGAUGUGGAGUAAACAAAAAGAGGAGCUUGGAAUUAGCUUUUGCCAUUGAAUGAAUGUAUUGUUAGUAGCAGUUUGUAAUGGUUUAAUUGUUAUGUAAGGGUUUAAGGGUUUAGGGUGUUAGGAUUAAGGGUUAUGGGGUAAGGCUUAAGGGCUUAUGGGGUAGGAUUAAGGGUUAUGGGGUAAGGUUUAAUUGUUAUGUAGCAGUUUAAUUGCCGACUUUUUUGUAACUUGAUGAAGUGAAUGGAAUGGCAAAAUUUGUAGAAAAUGGAAUGGCAAAAAUAAUGUAACAGGGAAGUUAGAAAAUAUUUAUCACCUGGAAUAAUGAAGUGAAUGACCAAAAUAAUGAAGCAAAGUGGCAACCCAAAAACUCAGAAAAUUCUGCAUUCAAAAUGGCUCAAAAUAACCAGAUAAUAACAUUGCAUAUCGUACAUAUUUCAUGUCCAUUCAAAUUCAUUCCAAAAUGGCAGUUUCAGUGGAUGUAUUUGCAUUCACAGUGGUUGAGGCUUAUGUGAAUGUAAUUACAUCCAUCAAAAUAAGUCAGCACUUAGUUAUACAUGACCAAUUGUUCAAAAACAAAAACCUCCUAAUCACAAACUGCCAGUCUAACAACAAAACGUGAAUAAUCAAAUAGCUUUUUCAGUGAGCUUCAAUGUACAACAUUUGAUCCUGCAGUUGAAACAGAAGUUGAUGCAUGAGGAAGCAAAGUUGAGGCUGGUUGUGCUUCAGAAGUGGCAUGUCCUUUCUUAGUUGGUUUUGGCUUCCCUUUUUGCACACGCCUUGGAGGCUUGGAUCUUUGCUUUAGGGUGCUUGGAUCACCAGCUAGAGUGGAUGCGUCAGAUGGAGUGGUCUACAACAUAAAAACUACAUCAGUUUGCAACAAACGCUUAGGGUUAUUAAAUUGAAAAAGAUUGAGUUGCUAUACCUGGGUAUUUUCAGUACCCCUCUUCCUCUUAGUUGCAGGUUUAGCUUUUGGGGGAAGAUUCCUAUGGCAAGUCCUCUUAUUGUGCCCUUUUUUACCACAUUGCCCACAUUUGAGAGAGUCCUGUGUGUUAGGAAUUCGAGACAAUGCAGUUUCAGAUUGGUUUCUUGAUGCUCUCAUCUUCAUCUUGCCCUUGUGCUCUUCCUGUUCUUUGGUUCUACAUUUUCUUGGCCUUCCAGGCUGUGUAGAGUAAGACGGAGGAAGACAUGGUGGAAAGUCACUCUUAUCCCACAUAUCCAUCCCAUGCAUAGGCAGUAUGAGAUUCUCAUAUGUCUUCAAGUAAGUUGAUUUCAAAUAGCAGUUAUCCACAAAAUCCAUGACAUUAAGACCCCCUUUAUAAUUUAUGGCUGCAAUAGCAUGAACACAAGGCCAUCUCUGCAAAUCCCAAGCUCUACAAGAACAAGUUCUCAAUUCCAAGUCCACAAUAUAUUGUGCAUGGCCACCAGCUGACACUUGGAAUUUACCUCCACCUGACCACAUUGCCACACAAGCACCUGCCUUGGCUUUAUUUCCCUCCACCUUCUUAAAUAUCCUUGGGCAGAUAGGCUUGUUCCAUGUCAGCAUUUUGUCCCUUCUUGCUUGUAUUCUCCUCAUCAGCAUACAUCUAAUAUACUCAAACAUUGACAGAAUUGGUCUAUCCCUACAUUCCAAUAUGGUAGCAUUGAAGGACUCGCAAAGAUUAUUCAACAACAUGUCACACUUCAAAUGAGUGUUGAAGUGUGACUUGGACCAAUGCCUUGGAGGUUUAUCUGGAGUGGUUAGCCAUUCAUAUGCAUCCUUUGACAGUUUUUUCAGGUCUUCCAUGGCCCUUGUAAAGUGGGGGACAGUGGUUGCAUAUGAUGCUUCCCAAAACUUGUCUCUGAGGCUUUUUGCUUUGAAAAGCACCCUAUAGUUGGAAAACAGGUGUCUUGCACAGAACCGGUGGUCACAAUUAGGGACCACUUGCUCAAAAGCAAGUACUAAACCUUUUUGUUUGUCGGAUAUAAAGGUGAAGCCAAAUUGAUUCACAAUCUCACAAUCCUUAACCAAUAGCUCCAGAAACCAAAUCCAAGAUUCCUUGCACUCUGAUUCCACAACUGCAUAAGCAAUUACCCAGGUUUCAUUAUUGGCAUCUACACCCACAGCAGUUAACAGUUGCCCUGCAUAAACACUCUUCAAAAAGCACCCAUCUAAACCUAUAAUAGGCCUGCACCCAGCUUUGAAGCCUUCCUUAGCAGCUCCUAAACAAACAUACAACCUUUGAAACUUUGGUUGCCCCACUUGUUGUUGGAAAUCACACUUAACCAUUGCUGUGGUUCCUGGGUUAGUCUUCCUUAAUUCCUCACAGUAAUCCCAAACUCUUGAAUAUUGUUCAUUGAAACUGCCCUCAAUCAGCUUUAGUGCCUUAUAUUUUGCCCUAUACACUUGUUGUCUUGACACCCAUGUAUUAUAAUCCUUCUCAACAGUCUCUUUGAAUGACUUGACUGGCCACUGGGGAUUGGACUUCAAACUGUGAACAUAUUUCUUGCUUAUCCAUGUUGACUUCACAGUAGGGUUCUCCCAUAGCUGUGUACAUGUGUGCUCACCUACAUAUGUCUUCACUUGCAAUGUGUUCUCAUGUUGCAUUUUUGAAGCAUAUAUCAUCCACUCACAAUCUGGGUCCCCACAAACUGCCUUCAGCUUCAAAGCCUCAUUCCUAAUAAACACUACAUCCCUAUUCUGCAAGAUGGAGUACUCUCUGACAGCUGCCCUAAACACCUUACAAUCACUAAACAACAGCCCAAUCUCAAACUUUGGAUCUACCAUGUCAGUUGCAGCAUUGAACUCUGGCCAAUUCUUAUCAACUUCCUCAUCAGAAUUAUACUUGGCAUAAUCCCUGCACUCAGAAUCCAAUUCAACAUCUGUAGGCCAAUCAGGAGCAGCCUCAUUCCCAGUUUCUUUAGCCCCUGUCCAUUCAGUUUGGUCAUCCACCCAUUCAUCAAAAAAAACAUCAUCUUCAUCUUCAUCUUCACUGAAGUUCUUGGGAAUCAUAUAAUCUGAGUCCUCACUAUCAGAAGCAUCAUCAUCCAAGCCUUCAAAGUUUGCAGCAUUUGCCAAACUUCUUCCACUUCUCAACAUCAUGGAAUCCCUUUGAAACUCGGUCCUGUAGCCAUCAACCCUUCCUUCCACAACUUUGUCUUUAUGGUGAACAGUCUUUGUCCUCCUCAAACUGCCACUUCUUUUUUUACCAAAUGCACGCUUCACCCUAUGUGACAUGUCAUCAACCUUGCCUUUGCCUUUAUCAGAACAACCUUGACUUGGCUUUUCUUUGCCCUUGUCAGAAUUCUCCUCAUUAUUCACAGUGACAUUUUCUUUGCCUUGUUUAGAAGCUUCAUCAAUCAAGCCAUCUUCAUUCAAGCCAUCUUCAUUCAACCCUUCUUCAUUCAACUCUUUGCCUUCUCCACAUGCUUCUUCAUUCAACUCUUCUAUUACAACACUUGUUUUUUUCACCUUUUGCACCUGGGAUACUCCCCCACCCACUGGAACAAUGGCACCACAAUUGUCAUCAAGCUCUUGAAUCACUACCCCACUGUUGGUCCCAAAUUCAUCAUCCAAAUUUAUGAAUAUGUUUGAACCCACUUGACUGUAAAACUGCUCUUGAGUGCAUGCCAAGACAUGUUCUAGGAAUAUAUUUAUCACCCUAGUGUCAGGCACAAAUACUAGCAUGUCUAAGACAUCUGUAUCUUCACUCAGCUUAACUAGGCCACCAUCAAAACUAUCACCUUGAAUACUGUACCAGUAGUUAAUCAAACCUUCGUGCCCUAACUCCUUGACCAUGGCAUCUAUCUCAGUCAUUGACAUUCUAUCUUUAUCACAAUAAUCAAACCAAUCCACAGACCCAUUCACAUAAUAGUUACCUCUUAUUUCACCAUUGUGGUUUGAAUAGAAAAUCCUGCCUCAUCCCCUGCAGGUCGAAAACCACACAUGAAUUUUACCAAUUUGACCCAAAACAAAAUACAUGUACUCCUGUUUACAAAUACAAAUACAAAUACACAUACAAAUACAAAUACAAAUACAAAUAUACAAAUGCAGAUAUACAAACACACAAAUACAAACACACAUAUACAAAUGUAUGUUUCUAUGUCAGUACACACAUAUACAAAAGGUAAGAUUCCCAAUGGUUGUAGGACCACAUACAAAAGCCAAUGUUUACUUCCGCAUACCACCUACCAUUCACACGAUUCCAUCUACCAAUUAAAUAGACACAGUGAUACCGACACCUAACUUGAAACUCACAAUCCAUUAUAAAAGCCAAACUUUCAGUCGACACCAAACUCGAAACUGACUCUAUUUGAAACUUUCACUCGAAAACAUCAUCUGCCAAUAACCUUACAACAGUAAGCCAUACGUACCAUAGAAAGGUUCUCCAUAUCCUUCCGGACGAAGUCCCCAACUCAUAUUCUUCAGAUCUUUUCGGAAACCUCCGUUUCGGUAUGAUUUUUGCAGUCUAUUUCAAAUUUUUGCACUCCAAAACACGAACAAACCCUCAAAACCUCUCCAACCUCUCCUCUAUGUCUGUCUCAGUACGAACACAACUCAGAAACUGAGUUGGUUCAAUUUUUCCAACUCAGGUAAUCGAACUCUUCCUUGGAACGCGUGCCAACUCUUCGUUUCCUUCGAUUUUUUUCUUCCGAAAUUGCCCAUCGUGACGUCGCUUUCUAACAGCUAUUUGGUUAUGAUGUGGGUCCCACGACUGCCACGUCAGCGUUUAACGUCUGACUUUGACGGUCAAUGUAACAGCUGGUGUAAAGUGGUAAUAUUUCGAAAUGUUGGGUACGAAAUUGAUCAAACUCAAACCUUGGGGCCCAUUUCGAUACUGACACUAAACCUCCGGGGACUAAAGUGGAGUUAAUCCUUAUUUUAAUUAAUUAUGAAUAACAUUAGUAUUGUUUAAAUUAUAAGGAUGUUUAGUUGUCUUGUUUUUUUUUUUUUUUUUGGGUAUUUUGUUUUGUUUUUGGGUUUUGAGCUCUUAGCUUUUAAAAAUUACACAUCCGUUGAAAAAUUCCUGGAUCCGCCGCUGUCUGUAUGCAUGGUGAUUGGUGGAUAAUGCACGUGAAUGCAUCAAACAACGGAGGUCAACCUUAUGCUUACAAUAUUAUAGCAAAAACAAAACUCAAAUGUUGUCGUCGAUAAAAUUUGAACUCCGGACAUUCUCCAAAAAUGUAAAAGCUGAAUGCCACUAAAUUAAAUGGUCGUAGAUUCACAGAUACAAAAUAAAAUGAGGAUAACGCGUGAAAGCUGCUAUGCUCUAUAAUCACGAAACAUGUGGUAUAUAUGCCUACCUUCUUUUGCGGAGCAACCUUCACUUGGAUGGGCUGAUAGGGAUGGCAAUGGGUCGAAUCGAGGGUGGGUAUGUCAUUCCCAUCCCCAUCCCCGUUAAGCUUUUUUCCCCCAUCCCCGCCUUCAUACCCGCAAUAUUCAUAUUGGGGAUUCCCCAUCCCCACCUUUGUUGGGGAAUGGGUUCCCCGACCCGUCCCAUUAGGGAAAAAAAAUCAAUAUAUAACUACUUUGUUAAAAGAAAAAAAAAACAUACUAAGGCAAGAUAAUGAAUACAAAUAAUACAUACUUACAAGACAAUAUAAGAAUGUUUAUAUAUGUGUUGGAAGUUAACUAAAUAAAUAAGUAUUAUGGCUUAAGAUUUGUAUAAGUUAUAUAAGUACAUAAUAUAAUAAUAUAAAAUAUAAAACUUAGUCGGUACAAUCACUUUAAUAGCAUAUUGAUAUACCUCAUAAACUAUAUAUAUAUAUAUAUUCCAAACGGGGAGGGUUCAGGUUGGGGAUUAAAAUAUCAUCCCCGCCCCUCCCCAAACACCAUACCCAAAAAAUUCCCCGUACCCAUCCCAAUUCCCGUGUUUGGUCCUUCAUACCUGACCCAUUAGGGUCGAAUCCCCACGAAGACCCUUACCCGGAGGGAAAAUUGCCAUCCCUAGGGCUGAGCAGUCCUCCCUAGAGGACUUCGUUCCUCAAGAUAUGAUACAAUUAUUAUUUGUUUAAAAUCUUUAUUUCAUUGUUAAAGGAUAACUACAACAUUGGGUUUUAUAAUUAAUUUGUGCCUAGAGACUCCAUGUGGGCAAAAUAUAUAAUAAACAAUUCUUUUGUUUUUUAAAUAAUAAAAAAUAUAAAAAUCAAUGUUCCUCUCUCUCCUCCCAGCCCCCAGCCCACCCGACUUACCCAGCCAACAAGUGCAACCCAGAUCUCCCCCACCCACUCCCCUUCACUGACGCAUCUCCCACACCCACCCACGACACACCUCCCCCUAGUUUUUGCCUGUUUGUUUCUCCCUCCCCGGCCCCCAAAAUUUUUUAAGGCUGUGGUGCUCAAAAUUUGGAUUUUGCAUAUACCGAUCUCACUAUUUCUCCAGUUGAAGAUUAACUAACGGUUUGUGUAACGAAGGGAGCAAAUUGUAGGGUUUCCGGAUGUUUGUAUAUGUACUCGUAAAUGUCUCUAAAAUUAGGUAUGAAGUUGAAAAUGACCUCAUAAUUUAGGGGAUUUUAUGUAGCUUGUCCAAAUAAUUUUUAACUAGUUAAAAAUAAUUUUCGGUGCUGGGAUUUGGACCAAGAAACUUGUUGGAAUUUAGGAGGUGUGCGAUGAGUGUUUGUGACGCUCCCAUACCACUUGUUAGAUUGUAAGUUGAUUGUGAGUGGUGUUGCUAUGAUACCAUUGUUGGUUUAUGUGUGAAGAGGUUUAGAACAAUAGGACAAUAGUUGAACAAAGUGAUUUUAUUAUAUUUGAAGGAGAAUGAUACAUAACUUGGUGUAGGCUAAUUGGCCUCCUUCCUAACUUAUAUAGGCUUAUUGGCCCUCUUUCUCUCUUAGCUUUAUGAGCUUAUUGGCUCCUCGGCAUAGCUUUCAAACCCUAGCCACCCCUCUAUGCUAGGGGAGGGGGAGGGAAGUUCACUGCCUUUCCUCCCCUCUCCUUCCUUCUCCUUUCUUAUAUCCUCUCAUCCGCUUCCACGCUCUUUUCUCUUGCCUUCCUUUGAGGGUUUGGUUGUGCUCUCUCCUCUAUUUUUUGUUGCCACAGAUCUCCUUAAAUCCCUCUCACCUUGUGUUGUCCUUUUGUUUUGCAGCUUUAUCUUGAUGUUAUUUAGAUUCUUUUUGCAGAUUUGUGGGUUUUGUGUGGCUGCGGUUUUUUCCUAAACCUGGGAUUCGACAGUAGUUUUCCUGUUUUCGUGGUGGCGACGACAACAACUCUACUUUCUGUCAUCUCCGGUUGGUUUUGCCUCUUUUUUUGGGUUGUAAUAAUUAUAUCAAAUCUCUUGUCAGUUGGGUGUUUUGUUUGUAGUUGAGUCUCUACUUGUAUUUUUACUUGUGAGAGUUUAAAAGUUGUAGUGAUAUUGGUAGUUUUCGGCGCUGUUGCCCACAUCUGAUUUGUUUAAGCUUGUGGCUUUCAAGUGGAAAUUUGUUUGGCUUUAUGCCACUAUUAGUGGAGAUAUACUUGUGUAUUUCUCUGGAAUAACUAUGCGUGGUUACUGUGCUUCCAUAUUUGCAUCAACCCUUUUUGGGUAGUUUAUGCCCUUAUGGCUGAUGGUCUUGGUGCCUAAGUUCUGAAUACGAUUAUCACUUACUCUCAAAAAAGAAGAGCAUAAUUUAUUAAAGUUGUGUAUUAAAAUAGGGAAUUCUGAAGAUUAACUUACAUUAUCAACUAUAUGCUGAAUCUAUUUACAUACAAAAACAAUGUUGCAAAUACUUACAUUAUCGACUGUAUGCUGUGCAACAAAGUUUUAAUUACAAUACUUUAGAAUAAUAAAAGAAUCCAAUAAAUUAUCAAAUAAAAGAAUGCAAACCAUGCCUGAUGCAUCCAGCCUGGGGGGAUUCCUUCAAAAUACUUCAACUGAAGUUCUUCUUAUGUUUUUUCAUCUUCAGAUAGCUGAAAAUGGGUUUCUCUGGUACAGGUAUAGACUUGACAACCCAACCAAUUGGCCAAGAAACAGCUGCAAUUCCAAUACAUGCACCCCAUUGCCCCCAAUUCAACCUCUCUGUAUCUGCAAACUUCUUGAGAAAUUCCACCAUCACCACCUGAAGCAGAAUUGUCACUGCAAUGAUCCCCAGAAACAAUUUGUUGGUGUGAAUGCCCUUGAACACAUUCUUCUUCUCAAGCUUCCUUGCAUUGAACUCAUUGAACACCUGGCACAGCACAAAAGUGUUGAAGAUCAAGGUGUCCUUUACCUUGUCAUCCACACCAAAGAUUGAUUUGCCUCUGAAUUGCAGGGUCAGGAGGAUUGCAAUCUGGUACAGUGCUUGAGGCAAGAGGUUCCUCCACAUGAUGUUGGUGAUGAGAGGCUCAGUCCUUCCCACUGGUUUCUUCUCCAUGAGUUCUUUUGUGGGCUUCUCAGUGGCAAGAGCCAGAGCACCUAGUGUGUCCAUGAUCAAAUUCACCCACAGCAAUUGAACUGCUGUUAA
rnacentral:lncRNA from 1 species